GCAGUUCAGCAGCCCCUGGUCUGUUUUAUUUCACGUGAAUAUUGCAAAGUACCACACACACACAUGCUUUCAUCAUGUGAUCACAUCAUGGCUGUCAAC